rnacentral:lncRNA from 1 species
AUUUGUACUAUGUUCGGAUUUCCCCUCAUAUAUAAAGGGGACCCUUAUCGUUUUGUAAACCCAUAUGAUAUUAAAUACUAAGAAAUAUAAAAACAUUCUCUCUUCUAUCGAACAUAUUCCCUUGAUCUUAUUACUUUCAUUUAUUGCUUAUAUUCAUUGUGUUCUACUUAUUUAUUCUUCAUUUACUCUUUAUUAUUGGCC